rnacentral:rRNA from 1 species
AGCGAACGCUGGCGGCAGGCCUAACACAUGCAAGUCGAACGAACCCUUCGGGGUUAGUGGCGGACGGGUGAGUAACACGUGGGAACGUACCUUUAGGUUCGGAACAACACAGGGAAACUUGUGCUAAUGCCGAAUGUGCCCUUCGGGGGAAAGAUUUAUCGCCUUUAGAGCGGCCCGCGUCUGAUUAGCUUGUUGGUGAGGUAAAGGCUCACCAAGGCUUCGAUCAGUAGCUGGUCUGAGAGGAUGAUCAGCCACACUGGGACUGAGACACGGCCCAGACUCCUACGGGAGGCAGCAGUGGGGAAUCUUGCGCAAUGGGCGAAAGCCUGACGCAGCCAUGCCGCGUGAAUGAUGAAGGUCUUAGGAUUGUAAAAUUCUUUCACCGGGGAAGAUAAUGACGGUACCCGGAGAAGAAGCCCCGGCUAACUUCGUGCCAGCAGCCGCGGUAAAAGCACGUGUA